AAAAAUUGAAGAAAUGUAAUUGAAGUCAUGUUCUUUUAACUCUUUAGCAAUGCCUGGGUGGGAACUUUUUCCCCUUUGUAGUAAAAGUGCCUCUUUUUAGCAUUUUAAAUAUUCAAAUACUUAAUUAUGUGGAUCUCCUGUAUUCCUUCUUUAAAACACGAGUAUGCAGACCUUGAUGUUGUGCCCUAUUAAAAGCAUUACAGACAUCUUUAGUUUUUUCCAGAGAUUUCGGUUUGCUUGUAUUUGUCCGGAAGUCACUCAACAGUAUUGAAUUUCGUGAAUGUAGAGAAGAAAUCCUAAAGUUUUUAUGUAUUUUCUUAGAAAAAAUGGGCCAGAAGAUCGCACCUUACUCUGUUGAAAUUAAGAACACUUGUACCAGUGUUUAUACAAAAGAUAGAGCUGCUAAAUGUAAAAUUCCAGCCCUGGACCUUCUUAUUAAGUUACUUCAGACUUUUAGAAGUUCUAGACUCAUGGAUGAAUUUAAAAUUGGAGAAUUAUUUAGUAAAUUCUAUGGAGAACUUGCAUUGAAAAAAAAAA
rnacentral:lncRNA from 1 species